AGAUGGAUGAUUUUGUUCAGACAAAAUUGCUCGACUGGGGGCUUGGUGACCUGCUUCCUACUUUUGAAGCUGAGAAGAUCGAUGAAGAAUCAUUUCUGCUUUUGGACGGCGGCUGUCUACAGUCAUUGAUUCCAGUCAUUGGACCACGGCUCAAAUUUCAAAAGUACUUCAAUACGUUGCUUAAGUGCUUGACGGCCACUGGGAGGAGGCUGCUGCCAUUCCACCUGGUCCAAGUUUGACCCUGCCGGUGCCUGACGACCACCGGAGGGAAGGAGAACACCAACACAGGCUCCGCCCAAGGCCCCUGACUGCAGUUGCCAUUCCCCCACCUGACUCCCUGCCGGUGCUUGACGACCACCGGGGGGAGGGAACUCCUUUGGCAAUGCCCUCGCCAGAGGCCACGUGAUGCUGCAGGCCUGCUUCCCCCAUCUGACUCCCUGCCGGUGCUUGACGACCACCGGGGGGAAGUAAGACCUCUGUAACGGCCCCACUGCAGCCAAGAACCUGUUGACGACCUCAUGAGGC